UCGGGUAUGGUGUAGCGGUAACAUCGCUGACUCUCAACGGCCUAAAAACCCAAGAGUGUCUCAGCAGCCCGGGGUUCGACUCCCCGUAUCCGAG